UACGUAGGGGGCAAGCGUUGUCCGGAAUCAUUGGGCGUAAAGAGCGCGUAGGCGGCCCAGUAAGUCCGCUCUGAAAGUCAGGGGCUCAACCCCUGGAUGCGGGUGGAUACUGCUGGGCUAGAGUCCGGAAGAGGCGAGUGGAAUUCCUGGUGUAGCGGUGAAAUGCGCAGAUAUCAGGAGGAACACCGAUGGCGAAGGCAGGUCUCUGGGCAUUAACUGACGCUGAGGAGCGAAAGCAUGGGGAGCGAACAGG
rnacentral:rRNA from 1 species